UGAUAGAUAGAUCUAAAAGUAUCUAACUAAAAUUAUUGCGACUCCAAAACCAAUUGUUCACUGCUCCACCAGAGACAUUACAACACCAAAACAAGCAAGGACUGUGUGCCCGUGACUUCAACGCAGAUUUCUCUCAUGUCUGAUGUGAAAGAGGAAAAAAAGACACCACAAGAUAUAGUUGAAAAAGAUGAUAAUGGAGAUACAUCUUAUAUCAAUGGACAAUACAAUAUGCCGAAUUGCAUUGAAACCUUGAGAGAUCUUAAGGCCAGACGUCUUUUGGAUGGAAAAGAAUUUAGCUUUGCUUUAGAAUUGAUUAAAGAUGGCAAAAAUAGAGUCAUAGUUGAUUCUUUGAAAUAUUGCAUGGAUGAUUUGGCGACUUGGAUACUCUUCAAUUUUAAGAAGGACCUCAAGAAUUUUUUUUAAGAUUUUUCUUUUCAUUCGGAUGUUAAACCUCCUGUUCUAAUGUGUGUGUGUAUGAAUUUCACUAUUGAACACUUUUGAAAUUAAGAAGAAAACAAUCAUAUCCUAUUGCAAUGAAUUUAUAUUUUCAUUUUGUGGUUUUA